rnacentral:rRNA from 1 species
AACGAACGUUGGCGGCGUGGAUUAGGCAUGCAAGUCGGGGGAAUCCCAGCAAUGGGGGAACCGGCGUAAGGGGCAGUAAGGCAUGGGUACCUACCCCGGGGUUCGGGAUAGCUGUCCGAGAGGGCAGGUAAUACCGGAUGACCUGGUGACAGCAAAGAUUGAUCGCCCUGGGAGGGGCCCAUGUGAUAUUACCUAGUUGGCGGGGUAACGGCCCACCAAGGGGAAGAUGUCUAGCGGGUGUGAGAGCACGACCCGCGCCACUGGCACUGAGACACUGGCCAGACACCUACGGGUGGCUGCAGUCGAGGAUCUUCGGCAAUGGGCGCAAGCUUGACCGAGCGACGCCGCGUGAGCGAUGAAGGCCUUCGGGUUGUAAAGCUCUGUCGGGGGGGAGAAAAGGGUAACACUUUGAUCUAUCCCCGGAGGAAGCACGGGCUAAGUUCGUGCCAGCAGCCGCCGUAAAAC